rnacentral:lncRNA from 1 species
CAGACGAGAAAACCAAAAAGACGUCAGACUUCGCAUUCAGCGCCAUCGGAGGCACAUCCAAAGCAUAUCAUACUAAAGAUGGACGAGUCGCCAUGGAUGUUGGUUUGGAUAUAAUCAACAAAGGAGUGGACACGUUUGCAGACGAGAAAACCAAAAUGUGGAGAGAAAAAGUUGAAAUGAGUAAACACGGAGAAGUUGACAAGUAUCGAAGACCAGUUAGUUAUAGUGAAGGAAACCAUGCGUGCUGGUCUGCGUCCUUAGCACCUCAUCAUGGCAGAGCAUCUCGUAGGAAACAUGGCAGGUGUUCGUUAAAUCCGCGCAAGAUAGAUGUUGACAGGUUUGUGGCGGUUAUUUGUAACAGAGAGAGGGAGGAAAAAUGCACAUGCUAGUUUUCUACUUCAUGUAUGAAAGACCAGCAAAGCACUGGAUUAGUUUAAUAAUGGAUCUAUCAAUAAAUGGCUAGCUACAACAAUAGUGGUCUGCAGGCAACUGCGUACAUAUAGCUGAUAACGUUUAGUGUUUAACAAUUAUCAUUUGACAAAGCAACAGUUUCCCAGCAGCUGAUUUUAUAAAAGUUAAAGACUUUGCAACUGCUGAUGGCUUGGGGGAAAUUUGAGUAACGAACUAAUAUAAGUGUACAAUUUGUUAUGGCUUUGUCCACCUCGCAAACCGAACAAGAAAAAAAUGGAUACCACGACAAUUAUGAAGACUAGUACUACUAUCCGAGCGCAGUAAAAACCGCGAGUUCUAGCUCUGUGCAUCGGCAAAUCCAAGUUACCUAAAACAGCUAAUAGGGAACGGUGAAAGAGGAAAUGUUGGCUUUUAUUCACGCGGUGCACAUGGUUCUAAGGAGGAAGCUCCCGAGUGGAUCCCGAGUAAGCCAGAAAAUUUUUCUUUCUCGUCACCACUGUUUUUGAUGAUCACAGACACAUUUACUCAGGUUUAGCUUCCUUCAUAAGUUAGCCCGGCAAUGAUCACAGAUACCAUUAGUGAUAUUUCAACCUCAUUCUUUUUUCAUUUUUGCGAAUGUUCUGCUCUUGCAACAUGGCUAAGCCUGCGAUUCUGUGUUAAAAGUUCAGAACAGUAUUCACUAAAUAUCUCAAAAAGAAGUCAUGUCAGACAUUGUAAUGUUAUUCAUGCUACUGUCAGACAUUUUCGAAGGUUUACCAAACUUCAUUCGACGGCGAGGGUGAGGGGAAAAACUGGGUCGAGUUGGCAUCGUAGCCAUAGAAAUAUGUCCCCUGCAAAGUCAACUCAACCCAAUUUUCCCUCAAUAUAUGUUUAGAAUAAGUUAUGUCUACUAACUUUCAAGUUUGAUAUAUUUGUAGUUUAUUCUCCACUUUCACAUCCCCAUGAUACUUCGUAUGCAUUUUUGCGGGGUAGGAGCCAGAGGACAACUGGUCAGUUAAUGAUGCAUAGAAAAAUUAAUACACGGGGGCGUACGUAUAUACUUAGGGUCGUGUUCCGGGGGUUUCAGAAACCCCCUUUCCCAUAAAAUUUUGUAGUGACCAAAUUUUAUCAAAAUAGAUUGUUUUGUAAAAAAAAACUGCUAGGAAUAGACCGUUUUCUCAAGGUUGCAUGCGCAUCCAACUUGACGGGCCAUAAAACUGAAAAACGCAAAUUUAGUAAAAUUGGAUUUUAUGAAUUCUUAUCGAAAAAAAAGAUCAUAGCAAUGCAUGAUAAUACUCGUGUUCUGGUAUCGUGGGCCGUCAAGUUCCUUAAAUUAGGAGCCAGAGGACAAACGGUCAGUAAAAUGAUGCAUAGAAAAAUUAAUACACGGGGGCGUACGUAUAUACUUAGGGUUGUGUUCCAGGGGUUUCAGAAACCCCCGUCCCCCUUAAUUUUGUAGUGACCAAAUUUNAUCAAAAUAGAGUGUUUUCCAAAAACUGCUAGGAACUUGGGAUAAGAAAGUUUUUGUAGUUUAACUUGGAACUUUUUUUAGCAAUAUCUGAUAUCCGGAGCUCAGGAGGCCAGGCUCUCUCGUUCCAGUGCUUCUCGUUUGUAGACGUCACCUCCGUCCUCCUCGACGCUCCUUGAGCACUGGGUCUAGAGGAUCUCUGCCAACUACGUUAGCUUUUCAUGUACUGAAUAUUAUAUANCCGUUCGGAGGUUGAGAGAAAGACUUCAAGUUGGUUGGUUCAAGUUGGCUUUGCAAUGCAGUGUGCGGCUGUUUUAGUGGACANAUUUCCAAGAUGACGUCUAAUUCUUCCCCUAAAACAGUCCCAUAUACACUGGAAAUCCAACUUGACCCAUUCUUUUACUUGGCCUCGAAAUGGCUAAUUGAUGGUUUUUACGGCGGCCAUGUUGGAGGGACUUAACAAAACAAUUGUCAAUGAAUUCUUUUGUCAUAUCCUCCAACAUGGCUGCCGUGUCUUUUGUUAUUUGAUUCUCUUGGGAAUGGUUGAAAACCAUCAAUAGACGUAUAUAUGUAUAUAAUAACCACCGCACAUCAUUAAUAUCGUGUUCGUCUGCUUUACUAUAUUUUUGAGCUUAAAAAGUUACCGCCAAAAUAGAGUGCAAACAAUAUGACCGUGAAACUUUAGAAAUACUAAAUAGCACAAUUUCAUGCAAAUUCCAUUGUUUUCUAUUGUUUAAUUAGCACUAUUUUGUACUAUUUAGUAAUUAGUGUUUCACGGAUUUAUUGUUUGCACUCUAUUGACCUGUAUUUGUUUUCUCUAGUUUCAUUUUAGGUUGAUUUGUAAUUGUUUCGCUAAUUGGUUUGCUUAUUAUAUUAUAGACCUAACCACUAGUAUCGAA